UCCCUGGUGGUCCAGUGGUUAGGACUUUGCACUUUCAGUAUGGAGGGCCUAUGUUCGAUCCUUGGCUGGGGAA
rfam:TPA: Bos taurus chromosome 14, whole genome shotgun sequence.